rnacentral:tRNA from 1 species
GGAGAGGUGGCAGAGCGGUUGAAUGCGUCGGUCUCGAAAACCGGUAUAGGGGAAACUCUAUCGAGGGUUCGAAUCCCUCCCUCUCCG